GUGCUUGCUUCAGUGGCACAUACACUAAAAUUGGAACAGUAUAGAGAAGAUUAGCCUGGCUUCUGCACAAGGAUGACAUACAAAUUCAUGAAGUGUUCUAACUAAAU